UUUCAUGUGGGAGACCCAAUGGUUACUAUAUGCAAGAGUAUGUAGUAAUACUUUUUUAUGGUAAAGAAAGUAAUCUUGGAGAAAGGUUUCAGGCCAAAGUGUCUCUUCUGUUACUUGGCUGAAUGAAAUCCCUUGCUAAUUUAUAUCGUCUUGAGCAAUCCUCCUGUCUUGUCCUCCCAAACUCUGGGGUAACAAGCAUUAGCCACUGCGCCCAGCCUUAAACUCUAGUAUCUUAGAAUGUGACCUUAUCUGAAGACAGGAUCUUUAAGAAUCCUGAGCAAAAGGAACAAAGCUGGAGGCAUCACACUACCCGACUUCAAAAUAUACUACAAGGUUAUAGUAACCAAAAGAGAGAGCAUGGUAUUGGUAUAAAAACAGACACAUAGACCAACAAAACAGGACAGAGAACCCAGAAAUAAAUCCAUGUUUCUAUGGCCAACUGAUUUUUGACAAAGGUGCCAAGAACAUAUAUUGGGGAAAAGACACCCUUUUCAAUAAAUGGUGCUGGGAGAACUGGAUAUCCAUAUGCAGAAGAACGAGAAUGUACCCCUAUCUCUCAACAUAUACAA
rnacentral:lncRNA from 1 species